UACGUAGGGGGCGAGCGUUAUCCGGAAUUAUUGGGCGUAAAGCGAGCGCAGGCGGUGACUUAAGUCUGAUGUGAAAGCCCACGGCUCAACCGUGGAAGGUCAUUGGAAACUGGGUCACUUGAGUGCAGAAGAGGGAAGUUGAAUUCCAUGUGUAGCGGUGAAAUGCGUAGAGAUAUGGAGGAACACCAGUGGCGAAGGCGGCUUCCUGGUCUGUAACUGACACUGAGGCGCGAAAGCGUGGGGAGCAAACAGGAUUAGAUACCCCCGUA
rnacentral:rRNA from 1 species